rnacentral:rRNA from 1 species
UGAACGCUGGCGGCGUGCCUAAUACAUGCACGUCGAGCGAACAGAUGAGGAGCUUGCUCCUCUGACGUUAGCGGCGGACGGGUGAGUAACACGUGGAUAACCUACCUAUAAGACUGGGAUAACUUCGGGAAACCGGAGCUAAUACCGGAUAAUAUAUUGAACCGCAUGGUUCACUAGUGAAAGACGGUUUUGCUGUCACUUAUAGAUGGAUCCGCGCCGCAUUAGCUAGUUGGUAAGGUAACGGCUUACCAAGGCAACGAUGCGUAGCCGACCUGAGAGGGUGAUCGGCCACACUGGAACUGAGACACGGUCCAGACUCCUACGGGAGGCAGCAGUAGGGAAUCUUCCGCAAUGGGCGAAAGCCUGACGGAGCAACGCCGCGUGAGUGAUGAAGGUCUUCGGAUCGUAAAACUCUGUUAUUAGGGAAGAACAAAUGUGUAAGUAACUAUGCACGUCUUGACGGUACCUAAUCAGAAAGCCACGGCUAACUACGUG